rnacentral:misc_RNA from 1 species
GAGAAAGAGAAUCCAUACAGCCGAUCCUAAAUUUUUGAGAUGAAUGCUUAGUUGAGUUGAGUUAAAUAUAGAUUGAGCUGCUUCAGAUUGAUGUGAUAACUAUAAAUAUUGGUAAUACCUUUUGGAAGUAUUUCUUUAUUUAAUUAUGACAUUCAUAUUAUGGCUAAGUAUCUAAUCUAACCAAAAAAAAGAGAGAGGGAGGGGGGGUGUGGUGGGAGAGAAAUAAUACUUAUGUAUUAUGUAUUUUUCUUUUAAAUAGACACAGACGUGCAUGUAUAAAACUAUUUAUUGUUACAUGUAAAAUAGGUUUACUGCUAAACAAUUUCAAAAAUAUCUUUCAGUGUGUUUAUUCUUAUGUAGGCCAGGCCAUUGGUGGAGUUUCACACAGGCUAGGGUUGCUUUGGAUAUGGAAAUUUAAUGUUUAUGGUUUGUGUGCCAAAGUAGCAUGAGGAUGCACACCCCCACCACCCCCCAACCCACCCCCCCUCUUCUUCCCGCUCCCCCUCCCCUCUCUCUUCCCCUCCUCUUCUCUUUAUGGUUUAUCUGAUUCACCUUUCAAAUGCCAUCAAACCAUGUAUGCUGCAUUUGAUAUGUGCAUAGAUGUCUAAUUUUCUGACCUAAGCUGACCCAUCUGUUUCGCACUAAAUCCAAAAUGUCCUAGAAAUCUUAGGUUUAAUCCAAUAUGCCUGAAAUAAUUUAUUUUUAAAUUGAAGGUAUUUGUAAAAAAAAAAGUAAAAAAAGAAAAAAGCAAAAUUACACAAAGACCUGAAGAAGUUGAAAUGAAUUUCCAAAAGUGGCCCAUUAGGUAAUUCAAACUCAAACAGAGCCCAAGCAACGAAAACCCAUCUGGGAAAAUGCAGCACCUGAAACUUUCUAAACGCAUACCUGACCUGACUUGAAUGCAACUUUUUUGUGUGUGUAUUGUAUAGAUUGUGGCAAAAUUCCUGUGCAGCAUAAGAUAUUGCCAAACAUGCCUGUACCACUGCUGUAGGGCUGUUAUUAGCUUAAUUUUUUGGAUGGUGAUUGCUUUGAAGACUGUUAUCUUAUCCCAGAAGUGAAAGCAAGAAAUAUGUUCUCAAACCUCUUUGCAGUGUCUCUUAUAGGCAAGAUAGUGUUGAGUUCCCAUAGUAUUGAACUCCAACAUGUGUGAUGUCUCAUGUCUCAGGUUUUAGUUCUUCUCCUGCUAACUUCUGGAAGAGAUCCUGGCAUAAUUCCCCGCAAUGCACAUCCUCCAGAACCAGAAGGCUUUGAUGGAACUGCAGAUGUUGGUGCUGGUCAAACUCCACAGUUACGUUUGCCACGCAUUAAGGAGGUAGAGGUCAAUGGAGCAACUGUGAAGAUUAAGUACUGUGAUACUUGCAUGCUUUACAGGCCACCUCGCUGUUCACACUGUUCAAUAUGCAAUAACUGUGUAGAACGAUUUGACCAUCACUGUCCUUGGGUUGGGCAAUGUAUUGGGUUGGUAAGUGAUCCUUUGUUUAGAAUCAUGUUUACCAUAGCCAAGCUCAAUGUUUAGUGAGAAAAAGAAAUGUUACUGUCUCUGGCUGUGAUGAUAAUUACUUGGACACAAGCUUGAUUGAUUUCAUCUCAAACUCAGAUAUGACCCACAAUUUUUAACAAUAGCUGUUUUUAAAACUUGUUUUACCAAGCAUUAAUAAUUGUUGCAGUUAAUCUGAUGGCCUUUUUGAAUUCGUUUAUUGUUAAUUUGUGGAUAAUGUGUCUGAAGGAAAAAUUUUGAUGCAGAGAAAUUAUCGAUUCUUCUUCAUGUUUGUCUUCUCAGCAACCCUUCUUUGUAUAUAUGUUUUUGCAUUCUGCUGGGUCUACAUUAGGAGGAUCAUGGUAUCAGAGCACACAUCAAUUUGGAAAGCAAUGAUCAAAACUCCUGCCUCCAUUGUUCUAAUAGUUUACACUUUCAUAUCAAUGUGGUUUGUCGGUGGCCUUACUGCCUUCCAUUUAUAUCUCAUUAGUACUAAUCAAACUACUUACGAGAAUUUUAGAUACCGAUAUGAUAGGAGAGCAAAUCCCUAUAAUAAAGGCGUGGUUGAGAACUUUAAAGAAAUCUUUUGCUCCAGUAUUCCUCCUUCCAAGAACAAUUUCGGGGCAAAGGUACCAAGAGAACCUUUACCAACUCGACCAAUUGGUGGAGGUUUCAUGAGUCCUAAUAUGGGGAAAGCUGUGGAUGACAUAGAAAUGGGCAGGAAAACAGUGUGGGGAGAUAUGGGUGCUAUGGCUGAUCAUGGUGAGGGGCAACUCGCAAACAAUGAUCGCUUGAACAUAAAGGAUGGUGAAUUAAGUGAGGUAUCCCCAGACAUAAGGACUGUAGUGGAGGAAGGGGACCACAGUGGAAUACAUCCAAGAAGAUCUAGCUGGGGUAGAAAAAGUGGAAGCUGGGAGAUGUCACCUGAAGUUCUUGCCUUGGCGGCCAGAGUACGGGAACCAAACCGUGCGGGUGGGAGUGGCAGUGGUAGCUUGACAACUGAGAACCGAGUUUCAUAGCCUGAAAUUUGUCUUAUAACUAAUCCAAUAGAUUCAUGGGGAUUUGAUCAGUUGAGUACAAGGUGAGACCAUUUGAGUCCAUGCUCCAAACUAUGUUAUGUGCAGCAUGGGAGAACCUUUUUAGCCGAGUGUUUGGAAGAAUUGGUUUGGUCAUUGUUCUUGUGGGGGGUGUGAUGGAAUGAUGUAUUGUUGUAUGAGUGGGACUUCUUUUUCUCUUCUCUUAUUCGAUUUUUCGUUUGUAUUUGUGGAAUUAGUUAGCAUAUAAUUUUAUUUCAUUUCACUUGUGUAACAAGUCAUUGUUAUUUUGUGUCCCGAGUCUCAAGAUUCUGCAUGAGCAAUUUUACAUUAAAUGGCAAGCAAAUAAAGACAUAAA